GCCUAAUACAUGCAAGUCGAACGGUAACAUUGGUGCUUGCACCAGAUGACGAGUGGCGCACGGGUGCGUAACGCGUAUGCAAUCUACCUUUUACUAGAGUAUAGCCCAGAGAAAUUUGGAUUAAUCCUCUAUAAUAUCUUUUAAUUUCAUGAUUUUAAGAUUAAAGUUUUAACGGUAAAAGAUGAGCAUGCGUCCUAUUAGUUUGUAGGUGAGGUAACGGCUCACCUAGACUACGAUAGGUAGGGGCCCUGAGAGGGGGAUCCCCCACACUGGUACUGAGACACGGACCAGACUCCUACGGGAGGCAGCAGUAAGGAAUAUUGGACAAUGGACGAAAGUCUGAUCCAGCCAUGCCGCGUGCAGGAUGAAAGCCCUACGGGUUGUAAACUGCUUUUAUACAGGAAGAAACACUCCGACGUGUCGGAGCUUGACGGUACUGUAAGAAUAAGGAUCGGC
rnacentral:rRNA from 1 species